GAAUGCUGACAUAAGUAACGAUAAAGCGGGUGAAAAGCCCGCUCGCCGGAAGACCAAGGGUUCCUGUCCAACGUUAAUCGGGGCAGGGUGAGUCGACCCCUAAGGCGAGGCCGAAAGGCGUAGUCGAUGGGAAACAGGUUAAUAUUCCUGUACUUGGUGUUACUGCGAAGGGGGGACGGAGAAGGCUAUGUUGGCCGGGCGACGGUUGUCCCGGUUUAAGCGUGUAGGCUGGUUUUCCAGGCAAAUCCGGAAAAUCAAGGCUGAGGCGUGAUGACGAGGCACUACGGUGCUGAAGCGACAAAUGCCCUGCUUCCAGGAAAAGCCUCUAAGCAUCAGGUAACAUCAAAUCGUACCCCAAACCGACACAGGUGGUCAGGUAGAGAAUACCAAGGCGCUUGAGAGAACUCGGGUGAAGGAACUAGGCAAAAUGGUGCCGUAACUUCGGGAGAAGGCACGCUGAUAUGUAGGUGAAGCGACUUGCUCGUGGAGCUGAAAUCAGUCGAAGAUACCAGCUGGCUGCAACUGUUUAUUAAAAACACAGCACUGUGCAAACACGAAAGUGGACGUAUAC
rnacentral:rRNA from 1 species